UCUCAUUUAACCCUUAAAACUCUGUGAUGCAUACAGACCCUGAGGUUCAGUGUAAUAAAAAUAGCUUGACCAAAAUCAAAGAGAGAAGAGGUUGGAUUUAGGUAAUCUGCCUGGUUCCAAAGUCCAUGCUUUUUCCAUUACAGCUAAAGCCCUGUCUUCAGUUCCCACAAUGUAGUGGGGAACACAGACAAACAGAUCAAUGAGGCAGAAAAAAAUUAAUGGCCUACCCAAUCAAAUCACUUUAAAUAAGUAAAGCACACCUCUUGAGUGUCUGUGCUGGAGUCACGUGAAAAUCGUCUCAGCUCCUCCGGAACCCUCCUAGACUAUUUCCCAGCCACCCAAUUCUUCACUGCUUUUGGCAACAGGCUUCCGAGGUCCGCGGUCCGAGGUCCCGAGGUCCGGCUCUGUGCCUCGGCCCCUUGUCUGCACCUGUACCUUGACCGCCUUGCGCUCUACCAGCCAUAAUUCGGACAUGACAGCCGGAUAUGAUUCCCUGGGCUCCCCUCCAACCCGGGGCCUUGGAACGCAGCUACGCGGUAGGAGGCAGGGUGCCGGGCGGCCCGGGCCCGCCUUGCGCCUGUCACCACCUCGGGGUUCUGCCUGUACCUCCUGUUGGGUCUAGGUGGGAAGAGCAGCUGGAGAGACAUGACCAGGAAGACCCAACAGUGCCACUCGCUCGGCAAUACAUUAAAUGGUUCUGUGAACUAAACAGCAGCUGAGCACCACACUGGAGACCACCUGAAAGGUCCAAAGCAUGGGCACAGAACCUUCUAGUAACUCUGGGAGUCUCAAAAAGGCCGCCCUUGAAGACAUAAGCUUUCUGGCUCUCUAACAGCGAGUUAACCAAAACCAAGCAGAAGCCGAACGAAGUGUGCACCAGUCCAGCUGCUCCCCUCUGCCGGCCAGAGCCCUGCUCAAGGACGUAGGGAGGGGUCAGCGAGGUUCGCCCUUCCCCUGAACACCCUCUGACCGUGGCUGUUUUUGAGCACGGCCUCCUUUAUGUAAUGGAUGUAGCCUUCUGAAACUCUUUCUUGCCUGUCUCACUGAAGAUACAAAAACCUAUGUAUAUGACUCGGGCUCCUUGAAACAUUUCUUCUAUCCAUGGGAGUUGUUUCCAGGCUUCUAAGUCCUUACGCUCAAAUAAAACUCUGUCUUUAUUCAA